rnacentral:lncRNA from 1 species
CAUUUAGUUAACAAAAUUAAUGCCUUUAAAUCACAAUUUGAUUUUUGCUAAUACAUAACCAGUUCUUUCUCUGUCCCUGCUCCAAUAAGGGUCAUAAUCAGUAAGCAUGGUUUGGAAUCAAUUCUUUUUGGUAAACUCCCUAGCCACCGCCUGAUUCUAGCCUACUAAAGGCAUUAUCUUUCACACAAAUGUGGAAAAAUGAAUAACGCUUCAUAGAAUAAUGUGUAAUAAAUUGGGAGCAUGCCUCAUCUAGCACAAACCUGCAAUGUUCCUUGUGUGACUAAAAGCCACAAUUACUCUGGCUGGGCAUUGUCGUCUCUUCAGACGCUGGACACCGUCUACUUGGUGCUGAAGCUGUGAAGCCUCCGAGGACCAGCGGCUGGACGAGCUGUUGCAGGAGGGGACCCAGGCCACUUCAGCAGCCCCACUCAGCUUUGCAAGCACUGUGGGGAGUUUACCACAUUCCCCUCCCCACGAGGAUGUGUUUUCAUCUCAGCACUUGGCUUCAUCCUUACCAAGCUUCCAGUGCCUGAGCUUAUGAAAGAACACAGCCAGGUGGCGCUAGUGUAAAGAAUGUGCCUGUCAAAGCAAGAGACAUAAGAGACGCAGGUUCAAUCCCCGGGUCAGGAAGAUCCCCUGGGGAGGACAAACGGCAACCCACUCCAAUAUUCUUGCCUGGAGAAUCCCAUGGACAUAAGAGCAUGGCAGGCUACAGUCCAUGGGGUCACAAAGAGUUGGACCUGACUAACAGCAUGCAAGCACAUGGAAAGGCUACUUUAACCUGGUGAGAAGGUGCAGAAACACUCAGGCUGGCUGUGGAGGUGUCCGAAGAUGACGCAAAAGGAGAUGAGUGGAGAGGAGCAUCAUGGGAAGGCACGGGAGGAUGGAUGUGGCUGGAAGGAUGUGCGAGUACCAGUCCAACCCUGCUGGGACUUGUGUCAGCAUCAAAGAACCUAACAGUCCAGGAGAGGGGUAGCAGCUUCCUUUGGGCUUGGUGACCAAAAAUGUAGGCCAUCCAGCCUGAGGCACUUACGAGAAUAAGGGGAGUCUCUAAGUUUAAAAAACUUGAACUCCCGAUGGCUCUAUUAUGGUGGCAGACUUGUAAAAUAAUUGCAUUAAAAAUUAUGUUAAAAUGUACAUUUUCUAAAAAAUAAAAAUAGCAUAUAUUUGCAUAUAUUAAAUAAAAAAC